rnacentral:lncRNA from 10 species
AUGAUUUCCAAUUUCAUCCAUGUCCCUACAAAGGACAUGAACUCAUCAUUUUUUAUGGCUGCAUAGUAUUCCAUGGUGUAUAUGUGCCACAUUUUCUUAAUCCAGUCUAUCAUUCCUUGCAAUGAAAUUCUGUUUAGUCUAUCUUAUAUUGCUAGACUUGGGCUUUACACUGGCAUUAGUCAAGGCAGUAAUGAUAAUUACAGAAACUGAGCAAAAAAAAAAAAAGAGUCAUUUUCUAAGCUAGAUGAAUGGGAGAAAGUCUAAACCUCUGACAGAAAGAUUUUACCGUAUGUGAAAAUCCCUCUUACUGGGUCACCAUUACUCAAAGGAGGGCUUGCUGAAAGUAAGAAAUUCACAGCUAUCCUGCUGACAUGGAGAGAAAGAAAACUUUAAAGCAAACCUUGGAGAAAUGAUUUUUAAAGUAGUAGAGUUGAGGCUUGACCCAGUAAUAGAUUUUGAAAGGGUGUUUGGUAUCUCUGUGGUAAGUCGGGCUGUCCAACAGACAAGGCUCCGAACUCGAAUAC